rnacentral:lncRNA from 1 species
UCAACCCUGUUGUUAUAUUCACAGAGUUCCCCGAAGUGGUGACAUUGAGAGGGAACUUGCCAUCGCCACUAUCACCAGCUUGGGUUCUCAAAGGGUUGCUAAUGGUUUGGAACUGAGACGAGGUGAGGUAUGUUGGGACGAUGUGGAAUUGCACCAGCUGCACUUUUUGUUCAUCGGUGAGUGAAUUCAAUGUGCCCGAUUUAAGGCUGGAGAAAGCAUUGUCCGUUGGUGCAAAAACGGUCAUACCAUUGUUGGAAUUGUUGAGCUGACCGAGCAGCUGGUUGGCCACUUGAGUGGACUUUAGAAGACGAAUGAAGAGGGUGAAUUGACCAGCUUUUUCGAGGAUCUUGGUGACGUUUGUCGGACCAGAAGGUGCCGGGGCCAGUGCCGGAGAUUGGGCUAAUGUUGUUGAACAACUGAGGGAAAACAGGAUGAGCAACGUGAGAGUAGUGAAGACAUAUUGUUGCCUCAUUGUGGGUUGUAUUGGAAGGUGACGUUAUGGCAACUAAAACAAAGUAAAAUGGAAGGGAAGAAGUGGUCCUUGAACAAAAAUGUUAUGGAUGUUUUGAUUGGAUAAGAAAUGGGAGCUUUUUAUUUAGGAUAUUGGAGGGUGAAGUUAGGUAAAAUAUGCUACUUUAG